UACGGAGGGUGCAAGCGUUAUCCGGAUUUACUGGGUUUAAAGGGUGCGUAGGUGGUUAGGUAAGUCAGUGGUGAAAUCUCCGGGCUUAACCCGGAAACUGCCAUUGAUACUAUUUAUCUUGAAUAUCCUGGAGGUGAGCGGAAUAUGUCAUGUAGCGGUGAAAUGCUUAGAUAUGACAUAGAACACCAAUUGCGAAGGCAGCUCACUACGGGAUCAUUGACACUGAGGCACGAAAGCGUGGGGAUCAAACAGG
rnacentral:rRNA from 1 species